AUUGAACGCUGGCGGCAUGCCUUACACAUGCAAGUCGAACGGUAACGGGCCUUCGGGUGCCGACGAGUGGCGAACGGGUGAGUAAUGUAUCGGAACGUACCUUUCAGUGGGGGAUAACGUAGCGAAAGUUACGCUAAUACCGCAUAUUCUGUGAGCAGGAAAGCAGGGGAUCGCAAGACCUUGCGCUGAUUGAGCGGCCGAUAUCAGAUUAGCUAGUUGGUGAGGUAAAGGCUCACCAAGGCGACGAUCUGUAGCGGGUCUGAGAGGAUGAUCCGCCACACUGGAACUGAGACACGGUCCAGACUCCUACGGGAGGCAGCAGUGGGGAAUUUUGGACAAUGGGGGGCAACCCUGAUCCAGCCAUGCCGCGUGAGUGAAGAAGGCCUUCGGGUUGUAAACCUCUUUCAAUAGGGACGAAGCGCAAGUGACGGUACCUAUAGAAGAAGGACCGGCCAACUACGUGCCAGCAGCCGCGGU
rnacentral:rRNA from 1 species